GGUGUUUAGGUGUGCAAGUGGUUAAGUUCUCCAUCUUCAAAUGUCCAUUUUCCCUGUUGCCUUCACCAUUUCAUGUGAGUAAAACAGUGUCACAACCACUAUCAUAAUUCCGCCGCUUCAUUUUCACCGAGUCGCAUCCCUCUGCUUUGGUUUGAAGUACGUUAUUUCGCGCUGCGCGCGUUACUACGUAAUCAUAUUCUGGACUACUCCAAUGCACAAUGGAGGGGGGCAUGUGUGCUGGAAAAUUAUUAUUUAGGCAUUAGUUUGGCGUUAUGUUGAUAUUUUUGUUAUUUUUUUCUACUAGAAAUGUUUUUUUAUUUUUUUACUUUACAUAAGUAAUGGCUGGGGGGGUCAGAUUUGGGGGCCCCUAAUAAAGACAGAUUUGGUUGGGGCCCUAGGCACUUGCCUAGGUUUGCCUAAUGGAAGAUCCGCUUCUG